CUUGAUCGACCCCAGCCACAGCGGCUGUGCCCUCUCUUGACCGUAGGUCGCCAACAACGCCUGGGCCUC
rnacentral:antisense_RNA from 1 species